AGAUGUGAGGUUGAUCUGGCUGCACCAUCCAUCACUCCAUUGAUUUAUAGGGUUGAUUCAGAGGAUCUGGCUGGCUAGGUGAUUGUCCCCUUGCUCCCUCACCACUCCAUGUGCGUCCCUGCUGAAGCGGCACGCUUGGUCAAAGAGGACGACCUUCCCUGAACAGAGGAGGACCGGUCUUCAGUCAAGGGUAUACAAGUAGCUGCGCUCCCCUGCUAGAACCUCCAAACAAACUCUCAAGAUCUUUAACUCAUCUUUAACUCAAUUACAAGAUCUUUAACUCAAUUACAGUGCCAAAGACUUCCCUGU
rnacentral:snRNA from 1 species